AAGGGAGCUUGCUCCUGGAUUCAGCGGCGGACGGGUGAGUAAUGCCUAGGAAUCUGCCUGGUAGUGGGGGAUAACGUCCGGAAACGGGCGCUAAUACCGCAUACGUCCUGAGGGAGAAAGUGGGGGAUCUUCGGACCUCACGCUAUCAGAUGAGCCUAGGUCGGAUUAGCUAGUUGGUGGGGUAAAGGCCUACCAAGGCGACGAUCCGUAACUGGUCUCCGAGGAUGAUCAGUCACACUGGAACUGAGACACGGUCCAGACUCCUACGGGAGGCAGCAGUGGGGAAUAUUGGACAAUGGGCGAAAGCCUGAUCCAGCCAUGCCGCGUGUGUGAAGAAGGUCUUCGGAUUGUAAAGCACUUUAAGUUGGGAGGAAGGGCAGUAAGUUAAUACCUUGCUGUUUUGACGUUACCAACAGAAUAAGCACCGGCUAACUUCGUGCCAGCAGCCGCGGUAAUACGAAGGGUGCAAGCGUUAAUCGGAAUUACUGGGCGUAAAGCGCGCGUAGGUGGUUCAGCAAGUUGGAUGUGAAAUCCCCGGGCUCAACCUGGGAACUGCAUCCAAAACUACUGAGCUAGAGUACGGUAGAGGGNNNUGGAAUUUCCUGUGUAGCGGUGAAAUGCGUAGAUAUAGGAAGGAACACCAGUGGCGAAGGCGACCACCUGGACUGAUACUGACACUGAGGUGCGAAAGCGUGGGGAGCAAACAGGAUUAGAUUCCCUGGUAGUAAACGCCGUAAACGAUGUCGACUAGCCCUUGGGAUCCUUGAGAUCUUAGUGGCGCAGCUAACGCGAUAAGUCGACCGCCUGGGGAGUACGGCCGCAAGGUUAAAACUCAAAUGAAUNNNCGGGGGCCCGCACAAGCGGUGGAGCAUUUGGUUUAAUUCGAAGNNACGCGAAGAACCUUACCUGGCCUUNNCAUGCUGAGAACUUUCCAGACCUUGAUUGGUGCCUUCGGGAACUCNNACACAGGUGCUGCAUGGCUGUCGUCANNUCGUGUCGUGAGAUNNUGGGUUAANNCCCGUAACGAGCGCAACCC
rnacentral:rRNA from 1 species